AAAACAAAGGGAAAAAAAGAAGAAGUUUUGCGCAGUUUGUGUUUUGAAAUGGAAAAAUGCGAAUCGUUGUGCGUUGUUUUUAGUUUUUCUUGUGGAAUUGCAAACAUGGAAUUGGCUUCAGAUUACACAAUUAUCAAUGUGCAUCUGGAAGGAAUAUUCUGAGGCAGAAAGUGUCGAAAAAGAAAACGGUAAAGUGCAAGAUGAGGGCGCGAAAGAGGAGGAAGAGGAAACGAAGGAUGAGAGAAGCCGUAAUGGAAUGUUGCAAGUGGAAAAUGUCAUAAUACCGCGAUAACAGAAUCGCUCAACAAUAUUGUCAUGGACCACUGCCAAGCUAAUGACGGACAAAUACCAACAACCUCGUAAAAAUGUCUGUUCAACAACCAACUGUAAUGGCAUUUUCCAAAGCCGCUUAUUAGGGGGAGGCCUUCAGCGAGAGCGACAAGAUUCCGGAGAAUGCGAGCUUUGAAAUAAAAGUAUAAAUUUCUUCGGUAUUCAUGGAACGCCAUCUGUCAUCAUGUUUCGGAAAACAUCAGCUGGAGGUGGAAAACAAUGCACCCUUUGAACGGUUGUCUUCACUGAACUGCUGUAGAUCAAGCCAAUGUCUCGUAACUACUCCCCACGCAAGCUGGUGUUAAAAAUUGUACAUUGAGUAAAGAGUCAAAAUAAAU